rnacentral:tRNA from 1 species
GCGCCCUUAGCUCAGCUGGAUAGAGCAACGCCCUUCUAAGGCGUGGGUCAAAGGUUCGAAUCCUUUAGGGCGUGCCAUUU